rnacentral:pre_miRNA from 1 species
CAUCUACUCCCUCCGUUCGGAAUUACUCGUCCAAGAAAUGAAUGUAUCUAGAUGUAUUUUAGUUGUAGAUACAUCCAUUUUUGUGACAAGUAAUUCCGAACGGAGGGAGUAGCUC